UAAAAAAAAAUCCAAAAAAGCAAUCACAUUCCUUCAUUCCAUGUUCUCACAGCCCCUUUCUCUUUUUUCCUUUGGAAUGGAGUCAAAACCCCAGCUAGCCUUCAUGACCUCCGCUGCCGUUUGGUCCCCAUCGUCUGCGCGCUUAACCCUCUCAGUUUUAUACUUUGCCCAUAAUUCUCCGUUACACAGUCUGAACCAUAUCAUGUGUCCUAUAUGUUUCGGGCCAACAAAAUGGUGUUCUGAAAAUAUAACUGAGGAGAUUGUACUGUUGUUCGUGGCCUCAUGCAUUGUGGUCAAUGUAGUUACUUUUUGAAAGGUUACUAUUUCGCUAUACAUGAACAACCACCAUAUCACUAGUAUCUACAACAUCAGGCACUUCCCACCACCACAUUGGGCUACAUGUUGCUAUAAAUUCAUCACCCAUAGGAAUACUCCAGCAUCACUUCAGUGAGAGUUCAAGUAAAAAUUCUUUGUAGCUCCACAUAUAUUGGUUACAAAUGGCAACCACGUACAACCACCUCAAGGAUAUUGAGGCAUCUUCUAACCACUUAAUAUUGAGGAUUAAGGUGAGGGUCGUGAAAAUAUGGUUAUUGUCUCCUGCUGAGCAAAAAUACGUGAAGCCAACUUUAGAGUUGGUGGUCAUGGAUCACGUGGGCAAUCGAAUCCAGUGCACUAUUAGGAAUGCUCAGAGGAGGCUCUUUGAAGAUGAGUUAUCGGAGGGAUAAAUCUAUAUCGUAUGUAACUUCUCAACCUCCUUGAAUGACCAGAAAUACAAGGCCACUAAUCAUGCAUGUAGGAUAUACUUCAAGAGGGAUACUCAACUUCAGAUGGUACAUGAUCCAUCAUUUCCAGAAAAUGUGUUUCGUUUUAUUCUUAAUGAUCUAAUACUAAACCACACAAAUGCUCAAUCGCAUCUUAUAGAUAUUAUUGGUCUACUUACUGCCAAAGGUGACAUAAUUGAAUUUACUAAGAAUGGCAAGAAGUGCAACUACAUUGUUCUCAAGCUUGAUGAGAUGCAGGGAAAAGGCAAGAUUAGGUGUACACUUUGGGAGGAUUUUGCAACUAAGUUGGUCAAGCGCAUUGAAGAGUAGCCAACAUCAGAGUACAUCCCCAUUGUACAGUUCGCUAAGUUCAACCUCUUUAAAGUUAUUUCUAUAUACCUUAAUUGGCACAAGUGUAAUGGGCAUAUCAAAUACCAAUCAUAAUUCAAUUCUCUACAUCAAUACAGACUUCCAAGAGGUUUAGGAUUUUGCAAGAGCUGAAAUUGAAGAGUUUUGGCAAAGUCCGAUUCAGAGGUAAGGAAAGUGUAGCAGAUGUUGUCAGAUUUUGACCUCCCUGCACUCAAACGAGCAUUUCUGGAGCUACAGAGGUUCACAUGAUGCGUUCUCAACGGUGUUGGAAAGCUAACUUCUAGAGCUUUCCAGAAAUAUAUAAUAAUCUAUACUUUUCUUCGAAGGGGCCUGCCCAUAUUGGGCGUUGAACGCCAAGGACUACCCCUUUUCUAGCGUUCAACGCCCUCAAAGGAGCCCAAGCCAACGUUGAACGCCCAAUCACCCCCUUUAGGGCGUUCAACACCCACCAAGAAGCACAAGACAGCGUGGAUCAACCCCCUGAUGUGCGUUCAACGCCCAUCCCUCAGGUUGGACGCCAAGCUUAGCCCAAGUACUCAACCAAAGUAGGCCCAAGAAUGGACUUUCACACAUUUAGUAUAGUCUAUCAUACUUUUGUACUUCUUAGUUAUUAGGUUAUUA